AUACGGAGGGUGCAAGCGUUACUCGGAAUCACUGGGCGUAAAGCGCGCGCAGGCGGGCUGAUAAGUUGGAUGUGAAAGCCUACGGCUCAACCGUAGAACUGCAUCCAAAACUGUCAGUCUAGAGUGUGCGAGAGGAAGAUGGAAUUAGUUGUGUUUGGGUAAAAUCCGUAGAGAUAACUAGUAAUACCAAAAGCGAAGGCAAUCUUCUGGAACACUACUGACGCUGAGGCACGAAGGCGUGGGGAGCAAACAGAAUUAGAAACCCCGGUAGUCC
rnacentral:rRNA from 1 species